GCUGGGGACUGAACCCAGGGACUUGCGCUUCCUAGGCAAGUGCUCUACCACUGAGCUAAAUCCCCAACCCCUACCAGCAGUCUUAACACAAUUUACAAUUACUUAUAGCCACUUAAAAGUGGACUUAAAUGCUAUUAUUUAAUAAUUUUUAUUUACGACACUAAUAGAUACACGUCUACUUAUCACAAUUAUUAACUAAUUAUGAUUUUAACAAUGAUGUUUAUAAUUGCCAAUCCUUAACUAUAUAGGAACUGAAUCUCUCUAGUUUACCGGAAGUAAUAUUUUAUUUUAUCUUUCAUACAAUAAUAUAUUAAUUUUCAUGCUUCUCCUUACUCUCUGCAACUAUUCCUAUGUUUCACUUCUAUUAACUUAAAAUUAAUUUCAUCUCCUUUUAUUGUUAUUACAUGACUGUAUAUUUAGUAUAUACAUACAUUACUAUCCCUUUCAACACAGGCCUAUGUUCUCAGUUACCCAAACAUACAUAGAAGCUUAGGGUACAUGAAUUAAAGCUUUAUUUUAAUAUAGAAAACUUCUUUGUGUAUGUUUAUUAUCACUAAGUAAGACUUUCCUUGCUCCGGUGUUUAUCUUCACUUAAAAUCACCACCGGUUAAUGUUGAUGGAGAUAAUAACAAGUAAAUAUCUGGUGAAACAGAAGAUUCAGAACAAGAGUUUCAAAAAGACUUUCCUGAAGAUUACAUCCCCUGCACUAUAUAAAGGCCACUUAUACAUUAUUUGUUUAAUACAAUAGAUCUGGUGUUAUUGAUAUACACUUAGUAAACCUUCCAAAGACAAUACAUAGUAAUUUUAGUAAGUAUGUACAACAUCUAUUCACAUAAAUCUUACUUUUAAAUGUAUUCAAGGAAUUAAAUAUGAUUGCAAUAUAUUUUUAUUUGCCUGUUAAUUUUAGCUUACUGAAAUGAUUGCUUUGGCUAUGGUUGAAGUAACAAGUCUAUUUUCAAUGUUCUCUGGAAUUUCUUCUAUGCAAGAAAGCUGGAGUACAGUAGUUUUAUAUUAGAUCCCCCCCUCACCCAUGUCUUAAUUUUCCAAGGAUCAAAUAGUACAUUUUACUAUUAGUCCAUUAGUACUCUCCCCAUUUUGUCCCACAUUCUCUGUUGAGAUACUUUUGAUAUAACACUAGCAGGCACUAUAGCAAACUUCUAGUGCCAUUCUAAUAAAAUUGCCCUUCCUACUAUACAGUUUGUGUAGUGGAUUUGAGUAGACAGUCUCAAGUUUCUUUACUUUCUAUUUCAGUAUGUCUUAAAUAUUGAAGAAAUAGGUUUUCCUCUAUAUUAAGAGGGUUAGUUUGGAAAUUGUCUUUGAAUAUAAUUUUCCUUUUAGUUAAGAUAUUCUUUUGAAAACUUUAUGUGGUUUAUUACAUAUGCUGGACAGUGGAUGCUCAUCCAUAAUCAUAAAAUGGUUUAAAAAUAUGUUACUCCUCUGAUUCAUCUAUAUGCUUACAUAUGAUGAUUUCUUACUUUCUUUCUCAAGAAUAAUUUUAGCCCCACAACAUGGCUGCUCAGGCAUGGGAUCAUAAGCAAAGACCUUCUGGGUCUAUGUACCAGCUGGGUGCAGACAGAUAUUUAAUACACUCUUUUAAUCAGUAACAUUGAAAAUAAUUUAAUUUGUAGAAAGAAGCAACCAUGUUUCAAAGUGAUAUCUAACUAAGCGUCAUAGAGACAAAUCAGAUGAAGAUUCAACAGAAGAAUGCACUGGAGAAACGUACAGAAACAGGCUAUUUAAGGACAGCAUGUGGAGAGAAAGGGUAUGUGCAAUUUUACUUGGAAAGUUUUAUAGACAGGUUGCAGAGAGAACCAGCUAGACCCUGGUGAAGAGAAGUGAGAUAGAGAAUGAGAAUGAACCAAAAGAUUAGAACAUACUAACACAUUCAAUAUGAGCUUGUAUAGAGCAAUUCAAUCAAAAGCUCAAAUAGCUAAAUUAAAUGAAUCAACUUGGAAGAUUAGAUUAUAUGGAGGCUACAACCUUCUAGACAUAGGUCUGGGGAUAGUUAGAACAGAAAAGAAGUGCUGUGGGCUCUCGCCAAGCCCUGUGUUUAUACAAGAUGGGUAGGGCUGUGUUCUAAUCCCUUCAUCUGAGGAAAUAAAAGUGACAUUUACAUUUUCUAUUAUUGUCAAUGUACUUUUAGUCUUUGUACAACUUGUGGGCGUUGAUAAUUUAGAGGUAGGAUUUUACUGGUAUUCAUGAGUAGGAGGAUGAGGGGAAGGUAUAGAAGUCACCAGAAUCUUGUGAGUACACAAGGUAAAAUAUAUAUUUUUUUGAUGGGGAAUCUCUGCUGUGUUUGUGCACGAUAGUGUCACCUAUGUGAUUGCUUUCUUCC
ensembl:lncRNA